rnacentral:rRNA from 1 species
AGGGACCAGCAGGAGUGGCGCCUAUGGCUUAAUUUGACUCAACAUGGGAAAAAUCACCCGGACGGACAUGGACAGGAUUGACAGAUUGAUAGCUCUUUCUCUGUUCCAUGGGUGGUGGUGCAUGGCCUUAGUUGGUGGAGUGAUUUGUCUGGUUAAUUCCGAUAACCAACGAGACUCUGGCAUGCUAACUAGUUACGCGACCCCUGAGCGGUCGGCGUCCCCCAACUUCUUAGAGGGACAAGUGGCGUUCAGCCACCGGAAAUUGAGCA